GCCCGGAUGGUCUAGUGGUAUGAUUCGCCCUUAGGGAGUUCAACGGUUCUUACGAAUCAAGAACCUGAAUUUCAAAUUGGGCGAGGUCCCCGGUUCAAUCCCGGGUUCGGGCC